UACGAAGGGUGCGAGCGUUAUCCGGAAUCAUUGGGCGUAAAGAGCUCGUAGGCGGUUCAGCAAGUCGGCUGUGGAAGUCCGAGGCUCAACCUCGGAAUUGCAGUCGAUACUGCUGUGACUCGAGUCCGGUAGAGGAGAACGGAAAUCCCGGUGUAGCGGUGAAAUGCGCAGAUAUCGGGAGGAACAGCAGUAGCGAAGGCGGUUCCCUGGGCCGGCACUGACGCUGAGGAGAGAAAGCGUGGGGAGCGAACAGG
rnacentral:rRNA from 1 species